GCCUGUGUGGUGUAGUGGUUUUCAUUCCAUGAGGUAAUUUGAACUCAUGGGGCUCAGGCUCGAUUCCUGGCGCGGGCA
rnacentral:tRNA from 1 species